GACAGAGGGUGCAAACGUUGUUCGGAAUUACUGGGCGUAAAGCGAGUGUAGGCGGUGUGGUAAGUCGGAUGUGAAAGCCCCCGGGCUCAACCCGGGAAGUGCAUUCGAUACUGCCACGCUAGAGUAUCGGAGAGGUUGGUGGAAUUCUCGGUGUAGAGGUGAAAUUCGUAGAUAUCGAGAGGAACACCGGUGGCGAAGGCGGCCAACUGGACGAAUACUGACGCUGAGACUCGAAAGCGUGGGGAGCAAACAGG
rnacentral:rRNA from 1 species